AUGGGAACAUCUGAGGUGCAGACAUCAGCAAGGCGCAGCUCCAGGCUUCCCAGCAGUCCCCGAGAAAAUGGAAAUUUAGAUGAGACACUGGUGUCCCCAACACCUUGUGCAGGCUGCUGGUUCAGAAGUACAUCCUGCUCAGCUCCAGCUCUCUGCUUCAGGCUUGCUAAGGGACACUCCUGUGCUACUGAAGCAUCCUACCCAACAGGUCGACUUUGUCCACCAGGAAAGAGAGCCUGUGGAAGACAGUGAUGAAGCCACCAGUUUUGAUCUGUGCCUUGGGAACCCAGUGGAAAUAUCAUAGAUCCCACAGUUCUACAUGUGCUCUUGAAUGAAUGGCACAGGAGAACAGAACACCAUGCAGGUAGACCAGCUUAAAAAAUCAUUUCCUAAAAUAUUACUCCAAGCUA
rnacentral:lncRNA from 1 species